rnacentral:rRNA from 1 species
AGAGUUUGAUCCUGGCUCAGGACGAACGCUGGCGGCGUGCUUAACACAUGCAAGUCGAACGGAAAGGCCCUUCGGGGUACUCGAGUGGCGAACGGGUGAGUAACACGUGGGUGAUCUGCCCUGCACUUUGGGAUAAGCCUGGGAAACUGGGUCUAAUACCGAAUAUGACCACGCUCUUCAUGGGGUGUGGUGGAAAGCUUUUGCGGUGUGGGAUGGGCCCGCGGCCUAUCAGCUUGUUGGUGGGGUAAUGGCCUACCAAGGCGACGACGGGUAGCCGGCCUGAGAGGGUGACCGGCCACACUGGGACUGAGAUACGGCCCAGACUCCUACGGGAGGCAGCAGUGGGGAAUAUUGCACAAUGGGCGCAAGCCUGAUGCAGCGACGCCGCGUGAGGGAUGACGGCCUUCGGGUUGUAAACCUCUUUCACCAGGGACGAAGCGCAAGUGACGGUACCUGGAGAAGAAGCACCGGCCAACUACGUGCCAGCAGCCGCGGUAAUACGUAGGGUGCGAGCGUUGUCCGGAAUUACUGGGCGUAAAGAGCUCGUAGGUGGUUUGUCGCGUUGUUCGUGUAAACUCACAGCUUAACUGUGGGCGUGCGGGCGAUACGGGCAGACUAGAGUACUGCAGGGGAGACUGGAAUUCCUGGUGUAGCGGUGGAAUGCGCAGAUAUCAGGAGGAACACCGGUGGCGAAGGCGGGUCUCUGGGCAGUAACUGACGCUGAGGAGCGAAAGCGUGGGGAGCGAACAGGAUUAGAUACCCUGGUAGUC